rnacentral:rRNA from 1 species
AAGAGGGAAGAGCCCAAGAUUGAAAGCUGGCGUCUUCGGCGUCCGCAUUGUAAUCUCAAGAAGUGUUUUCCGCUUCGGACCAUGCCUAAGUCCCUUGGAAAAGGGCAUCAUAGAGGGUGAUAAUCCCGUACAUGGCAUGGAGCGCCCGAAGCUUUGUGAUACGCUUUCUACGAGUCGAGUUGUUUGGGAAUGCAGCUCAAAAUGGGUGGUAAAUGCCAUCUAAGGCUAAAUAUUGGGGAGAGACCGAUAGCGAACAAGUACAGUGAUGGAAAGAUGAAAAGAACUUUGAAAAGAGAGUUAAACAGUACGUGAAAUUGCCAAAAGGGAAGGGUAGGAGGUCAGAGAUGCGUCUUGGGAUUCAGCCUUGCUUUUGCAUGGUGUUUUUCCCAAGUUGCAGGCCAACGUCGGUUUUGGGCACUGGAGAAGGGUAGGAGGAACGUGGCACCUCUCGGGGUGUGUUAUAGCCUCCUACUGGAUACAGCGACCGAGACCGAGGAACGCAGCGUACUCGUAAGAGCGGGCCUUUUGGCACCUUUACGCUUAGGGCGUUGGCAUAAUGGCCCUCUACCACCCGUCUUG